UCCCAGGGCUGCCUCGGUGUGAAACUCUGUUUUUGAAGGGUUUUGUGACUCUUUGGUCUCUCAUUGAGUCCCAGCCUGCCUUGGCUCUGUGAGACUCUGGUGAUAACAGUGUGUGGCAGGUACUGACUAUGCAGAGGGACAAAGCCUCAACUCCCAUCAAAUCCUCUGUGCCCAGGGUGUGGUGACAGUGCAGCAGGGGCCUGUGGCUAUCUCUGAAUCCUGCUCUGCUCCAUGGUUAAUCCCUGGCACUUGGAGGUUUGUGUCCUCUCUGCAGAGGAAUUCCAUGGGCUGAAGGGCUGGAGUUCCAGUGUAAGCCCAUUCCUGUGGCUGCUGCUCCCUGCUCUGCUGGGGAUUCCAGCUCUGGCACAGGCGUGUUACACAGCUCAGAGCCGAGGGCCGCUCCUCAGGCAGCCUUUGUGACUGAAGCUGGUCUGUGUGCCGGAGACUGUGAGUCCCUUGUGGCAGUGGCGUGUUCUCCUCUGUGCAUUGUGCGCACGGAGCGCGCCGAUGGGAUUCAGCAAAUAACAGUGAGAGAUUGUGGGAAUGUUCUGAGGCCUUUGUGUAUCCGCAUAAAUAGAAACCUCUUAGGCAGGAAAUAAAACUUGAGCAAUUUAUAGCUUUAAA